rnacentral:rRNA from 2 species
UCUGGUGUCCUUGGCGUAGAGGAACCACACCAAUCCAUCCUGAACUUGGUGGUUAAACUCUACUGCGGUGACGAUACUAUAGGGGAGGUCUUGCGGAAAAAUAGCUUGACGCCAGGA